AUAGGUUAAUGAGGCGAACCGGGGGAACUGAAACAUCUAAGUACCCCGAGGAAAAGAAAUCAACCGAGAUUCCCCCAGUAGCGGCGAGCGAACGGGGAGGAGCCCAGAGCCUGAAUCAGUGUGUGUGUUAGUGGAAGCGUCUGGAAAGGCGCGCGAUACAGGGUGACAGCCCCGUACACAAAAAUGCACAUAUUGUGAGCUCGAUGAGUAGGGCGGGACACGUGGUAUCCUGUCUGAAUAUGGGGGGACCAUCCUCCAAGGCUAAAUACUCCUGACUGACCGAUAGUGAACCAGUACCGUGAGGGAAAGGCGAAAAGAACCCCGGCGAGGGGAGUGAAAAAGAACCUGAAACCGUGUACGUACAAGCAGUGGGAGCCUCUUAAUGGGGUGACUGCGUACCUUUUGUAUAAUGGGUCAGCGACUUAUAUUCUGUAGCAAGGUUAACCGAAUAGGGGAGCCGAAGGGAAACCGAGUCUUAACUGGGCGUUAAGUUGCAGGGUAUAGACCCGAAACCCGGUGAUCUAGCCAUGGGCAGGUUGAAGGUUGGGUAACACUAACUGGAGGACCGAACCGACUAAUGUUGAAAAAUUAGCGGAUGACUUGUGGCUGGGGGUGAAAGGCCAAUCAAACCGGGAGAUAGCUGGUUCUCCCCGAAAGCUAUUUAGGUAGCGCCUCGUGAAUUCAUCUCCGGGGGUAGAGCACUGUUUCGGCAAGGGGGUCAUCCCGACUUACCAACCCGAUGCAAACUGCGAAUACCGGAGAAUGUUAUCACGGGAGACACACGGCGGGUGCUAACGUCCGUCGUGAAGAGGGAAACAACCCAGACCGCCAGCUAAGGUCCCAAAGUCAUGGUUAAGUGGGAAACGAUGUGGGAAGGCCCAGACAGCCAGGAUGUUGGCUUAGAAGCAGCCAUCAUUUAAAGAAAGCGUAAUAGCUCACUGGUCGAGUCGGCCUGCGCGGAAGAUGUAACGGGGCUAAACCAUGCACCGAAGCUGC
rnacentral:rRNA from 1 species